rnacentral:rRNA from 1 species
CCCUUUGUGAACAUACCUAUAACUGUUGCUUCGGCGGGUAGGGUCUCCGCGACCCUCCCGGCCUCCCGCCUCCGGGCGGGUCGGCGCCCGCCGGAGGAUAACCAAACUCUGAUUUAACGACGUUUCUUCUGAGUGGUACAAGCAAAUAAUCAAAACUUUUAACAACGGAUCUCUUGGUUCUGGCAUCGAUGAAGAACGCAGCGAAAUGCGAUAAGUAAUGUGAAUUGCAGAAUUCAGUGAAUCAUCGAAUCUUUGAACGCACAUUGCGCCCGCCAGCAUUCUGGCGGGCAUGCCUGUUCGAGCGUCAUUUCAACCCUCAAGCUCUGCUUGGUGUUGGGGCCCUACAGCCGAUGUAGGCCCUCAAAGGUAGUGGCGGACCCUCCCGGAGCCUCCUUUGCGUAGUAACUUUACGUCUCGCACUGGGAUCCGGAGGGACUCUUGCCGUAAAACCCCCCAAUUUUCCAAAGGUUGACCUCGGAUCAGGUAGGAAUACCCGCUGAACUUAAGCAUAUCAAA